GCCGCUCGCUGGAGGAGAGGAAAGCGAUAGUGUUCACACCGAGGGGCAAAUGUUCAUUCUUUCCAAUGAAUAACUGCCCUUCCAGCGCCACUGCCAGCUGACAAACCGCCCUGCGCGAGGAAGCGUCCAGCGCGUGAGAUUGUCUAAGGAGUAUCUGUCAGCGGCGGCUCUGGCUGUUCUUCUGGUUGAAUUAUGGCGCAGCCGAACACGUGUGGUCAGAGCACUAAUGGUGUGACCGAUGAGUCUCCAAACAUGCUGGUGUACAGGAAGAUGGAAGACAUCAUUGCUCGCAUGCAGGAUGAAAAGAACGGGAUUCCCAUCCGGACCGUCAAGAGUUUUUUGUCAAAGAUCCCGAGUGUGUUUUCCGGCUCUGAUAUUGUCCAGUGGAUGCAGAAACAUCUCCAUAUUGAAGAUCAAGUGGAGGCUCUUCAUCUGGGAACACUGAUGGCGGCUCACGGUUAUUUCUUCCCCAUAUCAGAUCACGUCCUCACUUUGAAGGAUGACGGAACAUUCUACCGCUUUCAGACUCCAUACUUCUGGCCAUCAAACUGCUGGGAACCAGAAAACACUGACUAUGCCGUUUAUCUCUGCAAACGAACAAUGCAAAAUAAAGCUCGUCUGGAGUUGGCUGAUUAUGAAGCUGAGAGUUUGGCGAGACUCCAGAGAGCUUUUGCACGAAAAUGGGAGUUUAUAUUUAUGCAAGCAGAAGCACAAGCGAAAGUGGACAAAAAACGGGACAAAAUUGAGCGUAAGAUUUUGGACAGUCAGGAGCGAGCAUUCUGGGACGUACACAGACCGGUGCCUGGCUGUGUGAACACUACUGAAGCAGACAUAAAGAAAUCUUCACGGAUGAAGCAGCCACACAAAACACGGAAGUCAGUAUACGGUCUACAGAAUGACAUCCGCUGUCACAGUCCGACUCACACGGCCACACCUGAAGUCAAAGAGCCCACAGAGGAGGAGCUACGCCAUCAGAUACAAUUUUGGCAAGCGCAGUUAGACAGACAUCGGUUAAAAAUGUCUAAAGUUGCAGAGAGUUUGCUGAGUUUCUCCGAGCAGUAUAUGGAGUAUGAUCCGUUCUUCACAACACCAGAACCUUCAAACCCCUGGAUCACUGAUGACAACACGUCCUGGGAGCUGGAGGCCAGUAAGGAACCUGGACAGCAGAGGGUGAAGCGUUGGGGUUUCGGAUUCAAUGAGGUUUUGAAGGAUCCAGUUGGAAGAGAACAGUUCCUGAAGUUUCUUGAAUCAGAGUUCAGCUCAGAGAACCUGAGAUUUUGGCUGGCCGUCCAGGAACUGAAGAAGCGUCCGAUCCAUGAGGUGCCCAGCAGGGUGCAGGAGAUCUGGGAAGAGUUUCUUGCACCUGGAGCUCCGAGUGCCAUCAACGUCGACUCCAAGAGUUACGAAAAAACCACACGGAACGUGAAAGAUCCCGGACGCUACGCUUUCGAAGAUGCUCAGGAGCACAUCUACAAACUCAUGAAGAGUGACUCUUACAGUCGCUUCAUUAGAUCCAGUGCCUACCAGGAGAUGCUGCAGGCCAAGAAAAAGGUAAAACGACUGGAAACGGCGAUCUAAGCACUGCUGCGCUCGCAUCACACAACUGCAGCUGGACUCUUAACACACACACACACUCUUACUCUCAGGGACUUCAAGUCUCCGCUGGUCUUGAACCGCAUAUAUUGCACUUGAAACUGGAAAGCACAGAUUUCACAAAUUAGCAUCACAAAAGUGAAUAUAAGUGCACCAUGAAACAGUUUUAUUGAGACACUUGGUAGCUAGUAAACUAGAUUCACACAAGUAAAACGGCAUAUUCUCAUGUGCUUUUUAGAGUUGCAUUUGUGAAAUAAUCAAUACUUGUUACUUUUGGAUGAACAGAAAUGGGCUGCGCAGGAUCAGAAAUUAAAGUUUUAUUACACUCAAAGAAUAUUUUUGCCUAUUUUUAAGAUUUAAGCAUUUCAGUAUCAUAACCAAAAUAGUCAUUUAACCAAAAACAAUUAUUAAUAUUUUUUUUUACAUUUUAUUUUAAGAAUUUGUAAAUUUAAUUAGAUGGCAUUUUGUUAUGAAAAUGACAUUUUAGCGUACAGGGCAAUAUCUGACCCAGAAUCAGAUUUUUAGGGGCAUUGUUUUAUCUAUAUGAAGGCAUUGAGUGUCAUCUUUAUGUAAAAUACUUCAAUUUAAUACAUUUAUUAAAUUCCAAAUUAAUUCAACAAGGCUGUUACCCAGGGGUCUGUGUAUCUCAGCGAGUAUUGACGCUGACUAUCACACCUGGAGUCGUGAGUUCAAAUCCAGGGUGUGCUGAGUGACUCCAGCCAGGUCUCCUAAGCAACCAAAUUGGCCCGGUUGCUAGGGAGGGUAGAGUCACAUGGGUUAACCUCCUCGUGGUCACUAUAAUGUGGUUCUCGCUCUCGGUGGGGCGAGUUGUGCGUGGAUGCAGCGGAGAAUAGCGUGAAGCCUCCACAUGCGCAACGUCUCCACGGUAACGUGCUCAACAAGCCACGUGAUAAGAUGCGCGGAUUGACGGUCUCAGACGUGAAGGCAAACGAGAUUCGUCCUCCGCCACCCGGAUUGAGUCACUACGCCACCACGAGGACUUAGAGCGCAUUGGGAAUUGGGCGUUCCAAGUUGGGGAGAAAAUUAAAAAAAAAGGCCGUUACCCAUAAAUUUUAAAUUAGCAUCAAAUCAUAUUCUGUGAUAUUUAUGAUGAUUAGAAUUUAAAAAAUUUAAAUGUAUCAGAUGUUACAAAUAAAUAGAGCAUUUUUUGCCCCUAUAUUUUGAAUUUCAGGGACAGUUUUGUCAGUUUCACUGGCUUUUUUGCUUCAGUUCCCCAUUAAUUUCUGAUCCUGCUGCCGUGCCGUUAUUUAAAUGAUUUUUUUCAUCAGGCUAGUUUAUUAUUUUGUCAAUCUAUUUCAGAUAAUCCCACCCCUAAAUGGCACAUACAAAUAAAAUGAACUGUAACUGUGCUUUACAAUCAGUCAGUCUGUGUUUUCCUGUCUGGGUCGUUCUUGUCCAGAAUAAACUCAAUGUGGAUCAGACUUGAUACUGAUAGUCAAAAUAUGAAGCGCCUGCUGGUGUGACAGAAAUCAGAUGGGUUUAUGGAUGUUUUUGUCUUCAGUGUCAUCAUGUCACUAUUCUGUUUUGCACCCCUUAGGUCUUUGUUUACCUCUUUUGUUUUGCUGCAUGUCUGUUUAAAUUAAAGACACCUUAUUUUCCAUCACAUCUCUUGUUAUUCUUUCAUGUUUUUCCUGUCCUGCACUGGUUUUUCUGUGUGUUCUGCUUUUAUUCUGGUUUGUCAAUUUUGUUUUGAAGUUGUGAAACAGGAAAAGCUGAAGCUGAUUUUUGUGGUAAGUCUGGCAGACAAAUGUUUUGAUUUUGUGUGGCGAUCCAUAUGAAACAGGAUUUUUAUAAAUGCACUCGCGUGUGUUAUUUUUUUCAACUGGUGUUAGUGCAUUUAUUUAGCAUAGAUCUGUCUUAAAGGGAUAGUCGCCCAAAAAUGAAAAUUCUGUCAUUCACUCACCCUCAUGUUGUUCCAAAUCGUAGAACAUGAAACAUGUUCAGUGAAUAAUGACCUAAACUGCUGAAUGACUUGCUAAAGUUGUUAUAUUGACUACUGAUUUGAGAGUUGUGUUCACUAUAACUAUAACUGUGUGGAAAAGAGCGGCAUAAAGAUUUUUCAAAAAUUCUCCUUUUGUGUUGCAUAAAAACAUAUGGGUUUGGAACAACAAUAGGGUGAGUAAAUAAGUAAACUGCUAUGACUAAGCACAGAAUACUGUUCCAUAAAUAACCUCUAGAGAUGAUUUUAGAUGAUGUUCAAGGCUUUGUGUGUGUGGUGUUUUGAGAUAAAUCUUUUGAAUGCUCAUUUCAUAGUUGUUUCUGUGCUGAAUGAUUCACUGUUUCUCUCUUUUGUGGAUUAUUUCUUCACAGAAAAGCAAGAAUCUUUUCUAGGGUCUGAGUGGAAGCUUCUGUUAUGUGACUGAUGCGUCUUGUAUAAUCACACAAACAUGACGUUACGCUUCUGCUCGGGGAUUAAAGGAGCAGCCCAUCUGUUCAUCUAUCUACUGCUCGCCAUUAUUAACACCAGACCAGUUGAGCGCUCACUGCAUGUCCCGGGAGCAGAGGUAUUUUUCAACAUUUCGUUUUUUUCCCUCGUCGCCUCUUUCGUGUGAUGUCGAGGCAUUCUGGACUUCUUCAACAACUCGAAUUUACACAAGCCUUCCAGAAAAGCUAUUUCAACUGCACAUCAGUGGACUUCUGGAGUUUCAGCUGCCCAUUACGAACUGAACACAAAGCAAAUAUUUAAGACUUCUCCAAAUUCUCAUGUACUAAUGUUUGUUGCAAUAUAAACUUUUGUAUGAAAGCACUAGACAGUAUAUGACAGAUAACGUCCCUCUGGAAUGAGCGCUUUGAUGCGGUUUCUCACCUCGUAUAUUUAUUUUUCUACUAUAAUUCAGAACUUCAUUUAUCUCUGGAUGUUUUGUAAAUUUGUGCAUAAAUCCGGGAUAAUCAAAAACACACGAUAAACCGUAACGGAUCAAUCAGAAAGUUUGUCGCCCUCCAUAAACAUAUAAACCAUGGAUGUUUGUGUAGUACGUUACUUGAUUACAUGAUGAUGUAUAGAUGGUAAAGUAUGUCAUGUUAAUGUAUGAACAUAUGUACAGGAUGUUCUGUAAGUAUGUGUAAGUUUUAACAUAUUUGAAUUUUACACGAAUGGAUGUUCAUGUAUGGACAGUAAGGUGAUGAGGUUUAAAUAUUAAUGUAUAAAAAAUAAUUUAUAGACGGUAACAUGGAUAUACUGUAUGUACAGAAGGUCAUGUAUAGAUCUUAACAUAUGGAUGGCAAUAUUUGGAAUGGAUACGAAUGGAUGUUUAUGACAAGCCCUUUGGACAUUUAAUCACGAGCAGGAUAUGCAUUUUAGAUAUCUAUAAUUCAAUUUUCACUAUUGUUAAAAUGUUACAGUAAUGUUUGAUAUUAGCAAUGGAAUUACUUCGUGAAAAUACUAGAACAUUCAUUUUUGAUAUACUGUAAAAUUAGCAUCAUUACUCAUUCUUGAUAUAAAAAAACAGUAAAUUAACAAGUAAAAAACGUUUAUAUCUGUAACCAAAUUUUGACAAUGAUCGGUCAUUCAUGCCUGUUCAUAAACCAAUUACAGAUAUCUAGAAUUCAUUUCUUACCAAUUAAAAUUCAAGUUUCACAUAUCAGCUAUGUACGUCUUUAUAUCCGUAAUUGCUCUGGUACUUGUGCAAACGUCCAUUCCUGAUAUCAACAAUUGAAUUAUGACUAGGAAAAGCGUACAUUUUUGAAUCUGUAAUUUGACUUUCACUCGUGGCAAUGUUCAUUUCACAUAUCUUUGGUGUGAUUGUAAGUAGUAAAUCUUUCAAUUACUCUCCAAUUUAAUUUAGAUAUUUAAAAACACCAAAUCUAACAUGUUGAAUAAAUGUAAAGAUAUCAAAAAUAAUCAUUUUCACUAUUAAAAACAGCAAAGCUGUUAUGUGCAUUUGGAAUUUCUGUAAUUACAUUUUUAAAAGGACAGAUCAUUGUGAAAUUCUUAUAGUCAAAAUGCAGUCAUAGAUAUCAAGAAUUAUGCUUUUUACUUGUUGAAAUUACUCGUAAAAAUACCCAUUAUUAAUAUCAUAAAUGUAAUGCCACCAUUUUUUAUAUAGAGAAUUACUAGUGCAAACCUAAUUAUCAAAAAUGAGUAUUUUUCACUAGUAGUGAUUUUAUUGCUGAUAUCAAGAAUGAACAUUUUAGCUUAUGAAAUUUUAAUUAUAGAUAUGUUUUGAUAUCCUGCACAUGAUUAAAUUAUUGUGCAGGUUUGCGAUAGAUGCGAUCAGUAGCGGAUUUAGGCAUGGGCGACGUGCAGUUGCACAGGGCGGCAUCUUGUGGGGGGAGAGGCACCCUCACAGACCACCCCCCCUACUUUGGGGGGUUUGAACUGGGUUUCGCCCAAGACACCAUACAACCCCCCCCCCCAACCCCCCGUCAACAAUGUCGGGGGCGCAUUGAAGCGGGUUUCACCCAGGGCGCCAUACAAGCUAGAACCGCCACUGGAUGCUAUAUACGAUGAUAAUAUUGUAUGAAUGGUACUAAAUUAUAAUGUGCUCAUGGACAUUUCAUCAGAAGAUGCAAAUUACCCUUGAUAUCUGCUUCAGUCACAAGAUCAAGAGGUCAAAUAAUGACCUGAUACCAAUAGUGGCCCAUUUAUGGACUAAAAUGAAUUAUUUAUUCUGUUUAGCUUUUGAGAAAAUCCCUGAGAUCCAAAGAUUAUUAGAGGAGAGAACAGAAACGGUCUGUCUGUACAACUCAAAUGUUCUUGGUUGUUGCAUUUACAAUAUAUUCUAUGACUGUAAAUACUUUCCAAAAUUAAAUAAAGGGACUCAAGAGAAGAAAACCAAGUUUCCAGUGUCUCAAACACAUCUGCCAUCACCCUCAUCAAAUGUAGCCCCUUUGUUUCCAAUACUACUUAAUUGAAGAACACCUGAGAUUUCGUGGCCACAUCACGUUUCUACCUCGGGUGCAGGGCCGUAGUUAAUGUAGUGAAAGGUGGUAACGACUCUAGGGGCCCACAGGUCUAGGGGGACCCACAACAUAUUUUAAAUGGUAUUUUUUCAUGUGAAAGGGGCCCAGAGCAAUAUACAGUCAGGGGGCCAGUAUUUCUUGCUACAGCCCUGCUCAGGUGUGCAUUCAUUUGAAUUAAAUCAACUGUCCGGAGUCAGGUAUUCAUCACGUCUGUUUUCUGAAGAACAGUCAGUUGUUGUUUGCGAGUGCUGCUCUCUGUCCAGCAGGUGGCGCCUAAAUCACAUCAGGAACGGGACAAUUCGAUAUGGGGGAAUAUAUAUUACACACGCCUAUGUUC